GUAGUCUAAAUCUCUAAAUAAACUUAUUCGUAGAAAUACAAUUAAAAAAUAAGUUAAAAGAGAUCAAGAAACCAAAUUGAGAAGAUGAUGAGGAAGAAAUUGGCAGGAUUUCCACGCGCAAUUCGAGAUUAGGGUUUCUUCCUAUUUUCUUCUGCAGUUCUUCCCUAAUUGGGGCUUUCAUCUCUGACUUUUAACUUCUCUUCCUUACUUUGAAAUUUGUUUCCUUAGUGCUUUGAUCCACUUUCUCAUGCUGCCUGCCUUCUAUUUCUGAAUUUGAAUGAAUAUUUAGAGCAGGUCGUUGAAGAAGGCAUAUAUGGACGAAGGAGAGGGUGGGUUCGGUGAGGGUGUGGAUCAGAUUGAUCAGUUCCAUCGGAACGAGGCCAUUUCGGCCGUUGCUGAUGAUGGUUUCUUGGGCGAAGAUGAGGAUGAAUACGAGGACCUGUAUAACGAUGUUAAUGUUGGGGAGGGGUUCCUUCAGUCGUUGAGGAAGAGCGAUGAUUUGGGAUUCAAGAGGGAGGAGGAACCCAAGAUGGAGCCUCCUGCACCUGUACCACCCAGUUCCGGUGCUUCCAUACCUGGUAUUGGUGGAGGUGCGACUGAAGUUACUGGUUUAGGAGAUGCCGGUGGGCGUACUGUUUCGGAGAGAGUAACAGAGGGUUACAAUCAGAUUCCAGAUUUAAGAACGAAUGAGAUGGCUAUCAGAGGUGGGGUGGGAUCGGGGCCGCCUGUAGGCACCGGAGUUGGGAUCAGAGUUGAAUUAGGGCAAGGGAGCAAAGCCAUCGAGUUGGAGGAGCGAAGUAGUAAUAACGUAGCUGGGCAUCAGGCUCCGCAACAGCAACAGCAACAGCAACAGCAACAGCAACAGCAACAGCAACAGCAACAGCAACAGCAACAGCCACAGCCACAGCCGCAGCCGCAGCCACAGCCACAGCCGCAGCACCAUCACCAACCACCUCAGAGCGGAGUCUUAGGAAAUCCUGGGAGUGUAGAAAAUGAAGGUUUGCUAAGGCAAGGUGGUGGAGUUAAUGUCAAUGGGGUUGGUGGAAACGGGUUCGCUAAUAUCGGGAGUGCAGGGGGAGGUGGCGGUGGAACAAUUUUGUUUGUUGGGGAUUUACAUUGGUGGACUACAGAUGCGGAGCUUGAGGUGGAACUCUGUAAGUAUGGUCCGUUGAAGGAGGUCAAGUUUUAUGACGAGAAAGCCAGUGGAAAAUCAAAAGGCUACUGCCAGGUUGAGUUUUAUGAUUCUUCUGCUGCCACAGCUUGCAAGGAGGGAAUGAAUGGGCAUAUUUUUAAUGGACGUCCCUGUGUAGUUGCAUAUGCAUCACCGUUUAGUGUUAAGAAAAUGGGAGAAGCCCAAGUUAGCAGGAACCAACAGAUAGCCCAAGCUACUAAUCCUCAAGCAAGGAGAGCGCCUAAUGAGGCUGUAGGUAAAAUUGGUGGAAAUAGUAUUGCAACGGGUGGUAACUAUCAAGGUGGUGAUAACAAUAGAGGUUCUGGGAGAGGUAACUGGGGAAGGAGUAAUGCUCAUGGAAUGGGUGGUCGAGGACCAGCUGGCCCAAUGAGGGGUAGGGGUGGUGGGAUGGGUGGCAGAGGUAUAAUGGGAAAUGGUGGAAAUGGAUUUGGCCAAGGAAUUGGUGCUACCCCUCCUUUAUUGCAUCCCCAGUCAAUGAUGGGUCAAGGUUUUGAUCCAUCUUUUGGUGCACCCAUGGGAAGAAUGGGUACAUAUGGUGGUUUUCCUGGAGCCCCAGCUCCCCCUUUCUCUGGAAUUUUGUCAUCCUUUCCUCCUGUCGGGGGUGUUGGCCUUCCUGGUGUAGCUCCUCAUGUGAACCCAGCAUUUUUUGGAAGAGGUAUGCCUAUGAAUGGAAUGGGGAUGAUGCCAACAUCGGGUGUUGAUGGGCCUAAUAUGGGAAUGUGGUCUGAUCCUAGUAUGGGUGGAUGGGGCAGUGAAGAGCAAGGUGGAGGGAGAGCAGGUGAGUCUAGUUAUGGAGAAGAAGCUGGUUCUGACCAGCAUUAUGGUGAAGGCAGUCAUGAAAGAGGGCCAUGGGCAAAUUCUGCGAAGGAGAAAGAUAGAGGCUCUGAAAGGGACUGGUCACAGUCUUCUGAUAGAAGGUAUCGAGAUGAUAGAGAUGUCGGUUAUGAUAGAGAGAGAUCCAAAGAAAAAGAUCCGGGACCUGACCAUGACUGGCCAGAUAGAAGGCCUCGUGAAGAUAGAGAUAUAGGGCGUGAAAGGGAUAAAGAGAGGGAUCGAGAUAGGGAUAGAGAACGAUCCCGAGAUUAUGAGCGUGGCCAUCAUGAACGUGAUCGUGAACGUGAAAGGGAUCGUGACCGUGAUAGGUACAAGGACGACAGGGACAGAUAUUCUGAUCAUCAUAGGUACAGAGACCGGGAACCAGAGCAUGAUGAGGAUUGGGAAAGGGGACGGUCAUCAAGGACUCAUAGUCAUAGCAAGUCCCGUUUAUCACAAGAAGAAGAAAGCCGUUCAAGAUCCAGGGAUGCUGAUUAUGGGAAGAGGCGGAGGCUUACUUCGGAAUAGUUGAACCAGUCAGUGUACAUGCUUUAAACUCUAUAGAGAGCAUGGUCUGAUUUGGUGCAGAAAAUAACUUAAAAGGGCAUUUGAUAGUGAAGAUUUGAUUCAGCGGAACAAAAGUUGGUUCGGGGACAACAACCAGGGACCUUUAAAUUAUCGUCUGCAUAGAGAGAACCCAUGCAUGACAAUGCCUUCUCGCUCUAUUAAUUUGAUAAAGAGACUUCUUGGUUUAAACAGUUCUCACAUUUCUUUUGAAUGGUGUUUCUUCUUGACUUCUUGGCACUUGAUGACAUUGAUAUUCUUGGUUGUAAUGGCUUUAAAAUAUUGCUGGAGUCUCAGUCAUGUCUGAAUGUUAUCGGACAUGUAAUAGCUUACUAUGUUGUUAGAGUAACUUAGCCUGGAGGAUGUUGUGUUGUGCGUUAUUCUGUUUUAUAAGUUGUUGUAUCAUAUAUCCGCACCACUUUUCUUUCCUUUUUUUGUUUUCUUUGAUACCACACCUUAGCCAUUGUACUGUGAAGAAUGUAGAGCUAACCCAUUCUUUUAGAGCUUUCUCUACCCUUCGGAGGUUGUAUGUAUUCUCAUACUUGUAUGUAUCUGUUACCAAUUCACUAGAUGUAGUUCCAUUGGUUGUAUGUACUAAAUUCUUGUAUGUACACGUCCUCAAAUGACUAGAUGCAGUUUCAGAGGAUGUAUAUAACACUAUACUUGUAUGUACGUGUUACCAAUUGAUCAGA